rnacentral:rRNA from 1 species
GUACCACGCAUUAUCAGAACUGUAGGGACGCAUGUGGAAAGCACGGGCCGGGAAUGGAAAGACCGGUACAAGCGGGGUAGGUGUACAAUAAGCAAAUCCGUUGUAUAAUCCGAAGACGUGAUGUGGAGCGAAAUAAAGUAGCAAAGCGUGUGAGCCAUGUGCCGAGAAAAGCUGCUAUUGUGUAAUGCGUGCCCGUACCGUAAACCGACACAGGUGGAUGAGGAGAGAAUCCUAAGGCCGACGGAAGAAGCAUUGUUAAGGAAUUCGGCAAAAUGACCCCGUAACUUCGGGAGAAGGGGUGCCUGCGAGAGCAGGCCGCAGAGAAUAGGCUCAAGCAACUGUUUAGCAAAAACACAGGUCUAUGCGAAACCGAAAGGUGAAGUAUAUGGGCUGACGCCUGCCCGGUGCUGGAAGGUUAAGAGGAGAGGUUAGCUUCGGCGAAGCUUUGAAUUUAAGCCCCAGUAAACGGCGGCCGUAACGAUAACGGUCCUAAGGUAGCGAAAUUCCUUGUCGGGUAAGUUCCGACCCGCACGAAAGGCGUAAUGAUUUGAGCACUGUCUCGACUAUGCAUCCGGUGAAAUUGAAGUACCAGUGAAGAUGCUGGUUACCCGCGCCAGGACGGAAAGACCCCAUGGAGCUUUACUCCAGUUUGAUACUGGGAUUCGGUACUGCAUGUACAGGAUAGGUGGGAGACGAAGAAGGAUGGACGCCAGUCUGUCCGGAGUCGCUGUUGGGAUACCACCCCUGUAGUACUGGGUUUCUAACCAGUUGCCAUGAACUGGCAAUGGGACAAUGUCAGGCGGGGAGUUUGACUGGGGCGGUCGCCUCCGAAAGGGUAUCGGAGGCGCUCAAAGGUUCCCUCAGAAUGGUUGGAAACCAUUUGAAGAGUGCAAAGGCAGAAGGGAGCUUGACUGCGACACCGACGGGUGGAGCAGGUACGAAAGUAGGACUUAGUGAUCCGGUGGUAUAAAGUGGGAUUGCCAUCGCUCAACGGAUAAAAGCUACCCUGGGGAUAACAGGCUUAUCACUCCCAAGAGUUCACAUCGACGGAGUGGUUUGGCACCUCGAUGUCGGCUCAUCGCAUCCUGGGGCUGUAGCAGGUCCCAAGGGUUGGGCUGUUCGCCCAUUAAAGCGGUACGCGAGCUGGGUUCAGAACGUCGUGAGACAGUUCGGUCCCUAUCCGGCGCGGGCGAGGAUAUUUGAGAGGAGCUGUCCUUAGUACGAGAGGACCGGGAUGGACGGACCACUGGUGUAUCUGUUGUCGACCAACGGCAUGGCAGAGUAGCCAAGUCUGGAAGGGAUAAACGCUGAAGGCAUCUAAGCGUGAAGCCCCCCUCAAGAUGAGAUAUCCCUCCUUCGGGAGUAAGACCCCUUGAAGACUACAAGGUAGAUAGGGCAGAGGUGGAAGCAUGGCAACAUGUGGAGCUGACUGUUACUAAUAGGUCGAGGGC